GAACGCUGGCGGCAGGCCUAACACAUGCAAGUCGAACGGUAACAGGAAUCAGCUUGCUGAUCGCUGACGAGUGGCGGACGGGUGAGUAAUGUCUGGGAAACUGCCUGAUGGAGGGGGGAUAACUACUGGAAACGGUGGCUAAUACCGCAUAACGUCGCAAGACCAAAGAGGGGGACCUUCGGGCCUCUUGCCAUCGGAUGUGCCCAGAUGGGAUUAGCUAGUAGGUGGGGUAACGGCUCACCUAGGCGACGAUCCCUAGCUGGUCUGAGAGGAUGACCAGCCACACUGGAACUGAGACACGGUCCAGACUCCUACGGGAGGCAGCAGUGGGGAAUAUUGCACAAUGGGCGCAAGCCUGAUGCAGCCAUGCCGCCGUGUAUGAAGAAGGCCUUCGGGUUGUAAAGUACUUUCAGCGGGGAGGAAGGGAGUAAAGUUAAUACCUUUGCUCAUUGACGUUACCCGCAGAAGAAGCACCGGCUAACCCCGUGCCAGCCGCAGC
rnacentral:rRNA from 1 species